rnacentral:rRNA from 1 species
AGUCAAGUAAUUAAGUGCAUGUGGUGGAUGCCUUGGCAGUCAGAGGCGAUGAAAGACGUGAUAGCCUGCGAAAAGCUCCGGGGAGGCGGCAAAUAUCCUUUGAUCCGGAGAUGUCUGAAUGGGGGAACCCACCUACUUUAAGGUAGGUAUUGCAACAUGAAUACAUAGUGUUGCAAGGCGAACGAGGGGAAGUGAAACAUCUCAGUACCCUUAGGAAAAGAAAUCAAUUGAGAUUCCCUCAGUAGCGGCGAGCGAACGGGGAUCAGCCCAUUAAGUUAUGUGUGUUUUAGUGGAACGCUCUGGGAAGUGCGAACGUAGAGGGUGAUAUUCCCGUACACGAAAGGGCACACAUAAUGAUGACGAGUAGGGCGAGGCACGUGAAACCUUGUCUGAAUAUGGGGGGACCAUCCUCCAAGGCUAAAUACUCCUGACUGACCGAUAGUGAACCAGUACCGUGAGGGAAAGGCGAAAAGAACCCCUGUGAGGGGAGUGAAAUAGAUCCUGAAACCGCAUGCAUACAAGCAGUGGGAGCACCUUCGUGGUGUGACUGCGUACCUUUUGUAUAAUGGGUCAGCGACUUAUAUUCAGUAGCGAGGUUAACCGUAUAGGGGAGCCGUAGAGAAAUCGAGUCUUAAUAGGGCGUUUAGUUGCUGGGUAUAGACCCGAAACCAGGCGAUCUAUCCAUGAGCAGGUUGAAGGUUGGGUAACACUAACUGGAGGACCGAACCCACUGUCGUUGAAAAGCCAGGGGAUGACUUGUGGAUAGGGGUGAAAGGCUAAUCAAGCCUGGUGAUAGCUGGUUCUCCCCGAAAGCUAUUUAGGUAGCGCCUCGGACGAAUACCAUAGGGGGUAGAGCACUGUUUCGGCUAGGGGGUCAUCCCGACUUACCAAACCGAUGCAAACUCCGAAUACCUAUGAGUACUAUCCGGGAGACAGACUGCGGGUGCUAACGUCCGUAGUCAAGAGGAAAACAAUCCAGACCGCCAGCUAAGGCCCCAAAAUCAUAGUUAAGUGGGAAACGAUGUGGGAAGGCAUAGACAGCUAGGAGGUUGGCUUAGAAGCAGCCACCCUUUAAAGAAAGCGUAAUAGCUCACUAGUCGAGUCGGCCUGCGCGGAAGAUGUAACGGGGCUAAAACUAUGUGCCGAAGCUGCGGAUGUAUACUUUGUAUACGUGGUAGGGGAGCGUUCUGUAAGCCGAUGAAGGUGUGUUGAGAAGCAUGCUGGAGGUAUCAGAAGUGCGAAUGCUGACGUGAGUAACGACAAAACGGGUGAAAAACCCGUUCGCCGAAAGACCAAGGGUUCCAGUCCAACGUUAAUCGGGGCUGGGUGAGUCGACCCCUAAGGCGAGGCCGAAAGGCGUAGUCGAUGGGAAAAUGGUUAAUAUUCCAUUACUUCUGUGUAAUGCGAUGAGAGGACGGAGAAGGCUAAAUCAGCCUGGCGUUGGUUGUCCAGGUGAAAGGAUGUAGGCAUGUAUCUUAGGCAAAUCCGGGGUACUCUAUGCUGAGAUCUGAUAGCAAGCUGUACUUGUACAGCGAAGUGGUUGAUGCCAUGCUUCCAGGAAAAGUCUCUAAGCUUCAGUUACACAGGAAUCGUACCCGAAACCGACACAGGUGGUCAGGUCGAGUAGACCAAGGCGCUUGAGAGAACUCUGCUGAAGGAACUAGGCAAAAUGGUACCGUAACUUCGGGAGAAGGUACGCUGUUGUUGGUGAUGGAACUCGCUUCCUGAGCUGACGACAGCCGCAGAAACCAGGCCGCUGCAACUGUUUAUUAAAAACAUAGCACUCUGCAAACACGAAAGUGGACGUAUAGGGUGUGAUGCCUGCCCGGUGCUGGAAGGUUAAUUGAUGGGGUUAGCGUAAGCGAAGCUCUUGAUCGAAGCCCCAGUAAACGGCGGCCGUAACUAUAACGGUCCUAAGGUAGCGAAAUUCCUUGUCGGGUAAGUUCCGACCUGCACGAAUGGCAUAAUGAUGGCGGCGCUGUCUCCAGCAGAGGCUCAGUGAAAUCGAAAUCGCUGUGAAGAUGCAGUGUACCCGCGGCUAGACGGAAAGACCCCGUGAACCUUUACUGCAGCUUGACACUGAACUUUGACCUUACUUGUGUAGGAUAGGUGGGAGGCUUUGAAGCUGGAACGCUAGUUCCAGUGGAGCCGUCCUUGAAAUACCACCCUGGUAAUGUUGAGGUUCUAACUCUGUCCCGUGAUCCGGGACGAGGACCGUGUCUGGUGGGUAGUUUGACUGGGGCGGUCUCCUCCUAAAGAGUAACGGAGGAGUACGAAGGUGCGCUCAGCGUGGUCGGAAAUCACGCGUAGAGUAUAAAGGCAAAAGCGCGCUUAACUGCGAGACCCACAAGUCGAGCAGGUACGAAAGUAGGUCUUAGUGAUCCGGUGGUUCUGUAUGGAAGGGCCAUCGCUCAACGGAUAAAAGGUACUCUGGGGAUAACAGGCUGAUACCGCCCAAGAGUUCAUAUCGACGGCGGUGUUUGGCACCUCGAUGUCGGCUCAUCUCAUCCUGGGGCUGAAGCAGGUCCCAAGGGUAUGGCUGUUCGCCAUUUAAAGAGGUACGCGAGCUGGGUUUAGAACGUCGUGAGACAGUUCGGUCCCUAUCUACCGUGGGCGCUGGAAAUUUGAGAGGAUCUGCUCCUAGUACGAGAGGACCAGAGUGGACGAACCUCCUGUGUACCGGUUGUGACGCCAGUCGCAUCGCCGGGUAGCUAUGUUCGGAAGGGAUAACCGCUGAAAGCAUCUAAGCGGGAAGCCUACCUCAAGAUAAGAUUUCCCUAGGACUUUAUGUCCUCUAAAGAGCCGUUCGAGACUAGGACGUUGAUAGGUUGGAUGUGGAAGCAUAGUGAUAUGUGAAGCUGACCAAUACUAAUUGCUCGUGAGGCUUGACUAUACAACACCC